rnacentral:rRNA from 1 species
UACGUAGGGAGCAAGCGUUGUCCGGAAUCAUUGGGCGUAAAGCGCGCGUAGGCGGCCCGGUAAGUCCGUUGUGAAAGUCAAAGGCUCAACCUUUGAACGCCGAUGGAUACUGCCGGGCUAGAGUCCGGAAGAGGCGAGUGGAAUUCCCGGUGUAGCGGUGAAAUGCGCAGAUAUCGGGAGGAACACCAAUGGCGAAGGCAGCUCGCUGGGACGUUACUGACGCUGAGACGCGAAAGCGUGGGGAGCAAACAGG